rnacentral:rRNA from 1 species
CAGCACCUCAAGUUGUCAGGAUGAUUAUUGGGCCUAAAGCAUCCGUAGCCGGCGCUGUAAGUUUUCGGUUAAAUCUGUACGCUCAACGUACAGGCUGCCGGGAAUACUGCAGCGCUAGGGAGUGGGAGAGGUAGACGGUACUCGGUAGGAAGGGGUAAAAUCCUUUGAUCUAUUGAUGACCACCUGUGGCGAAGGCGGUCUACCAGAACACGUCCGACGGUGAGGGAUGAAAGCUGGGGGAGCAAACCGGAUUAGAUACCCGAGUAGUCC